CAAUAGCGUAUACUAAUGUUGUUGCAGUUAAAAAGCUCGUAGUUGAACUUCUGGUAGGAGUGUCCCGGCCUUUUUGUUUUUACAAAUUGUAUGCUGUGUGACAUCUCUGGCCAUCCUUCUUCUUUGUUUAAAGAAGAUCUUUCACUGUAAAAAAAUUAGGGUGUUCAAAGCAAAAGUUUCUUUGGAAUAUAUUAGUAUGGGAUGAUAAGAUAGGCUCUAGAUGCUAUUUUGUUGGUUUGCACAUUUAGAGAAUGAUUAACAGGGACAGUUGGGGGUAUUCGUAUCUACAUGUCAGAGGUGAAAUUCUUGGAUUUUGGAAAGACGAACUACUGCGAAAGCAUUUACCAAGGAUGUUUUCAUUAA
rnacentral:rRNA from 1 species